rnacentral:sRNA from 1 species
AGCGCUCCAGUCGCUCGACCUCUCCAACC